UACGUAGGUGACCAGCGUUGUCCGGAUUUACUGGGUGUAAAGAGCGCGCAGGCGGUCGUUCAAGUCGAGUGUGAAAGCCCCCGGCUCAACUGGGGAGGGUCACUCGAUACUGAUCGACUUGAAGGCAGGAGAGGGAAGCGGAAUUCCCGGUGUAGUGGUGAAAUGCGUAGAUAUCGGGAGGAACACCGGUGGCGAAGGCGGCGACCUGGGUAGAUACUGACGCUGAGGUGCGAAAGCGUGGGGAGCAAACAGG
rnacentral:rRNA from 1 species